AAUGGUUUACAUUGAAUUCCUGAUAAGACGGCAGUCUAAGCCGGAAGCCUUGUAACCGAAUAGAAUAUUGGGGGAAUCUUAAAUG
rnacentral:sRNA from 2 species